CCUCUGGUCAGUGCGGACUUUCUUUUGCAGGCGCUCGUUCCCGGCGACCAGGCGACGAGGGGAUUGGCCGCAACAGAUUGGCGCGCCAGGUAGGGGUACUACGAAGCAACACUCAUAGUGACAAGUUAGUGCUUCAUCGAUAGCACAGGGGACAGUAACCCCCACAGAAUUCAAGAUGACAAAGACAAGAGCUCAGCGAUCGAAGGUCACCGGGUCGGCGAGGUGCUCUUCCCGUCGGGAAGAGGCCUCUCCUCCACCCUCCACGGCGGAACCCAGUUCUCCACACCCC
rnacentral:lncRNA from 1 species